AGUGAACGCUGGCGGUAGGCCUAACACAUGCAAGUCGAACGGCAGCACAGUAAGAGCUUGCUCUUACGGUUGGCGAGUGGCGGACGGGUAAGGCAUACAUCGCCAUCUACUUUUUCGUGGAGGAUAACGUAGGGAAACUUACACUAUACCGCAUAAUACCUACCGGUAUGAGUCGGUGAUCUUCGGACCUUUUGCGGUUGCAUGUGCCGAUGUCCGUUUAGCAUUUGGGCGGUGUAAGGCUCACCAAGGCGACGAUCCGUAGCUGGUCUGAGAGGAUGAUCAGCCACACUGGAACUGAGACACGGUCCAGACUCCUACGGGAGGCAGCAGUGGGGAAUAUUGGACAAUGGGCGAAAGCCUGAUCCAGCCACACCGCGUGAGUGAAGAAGGCCUUCGGGUUGUAAAGCCCUGUUGUUGGGAAAGAAAAGCUGCAGAUUAAUCCACCGCUGUUCUGACGGUACCCAAAGAAUAAGCACCGGCUAACUACGUG
rnacentral:rRNA from 1 species